rnacentral:rRNA from 1 species
CGCAAGCCUGACGGAGCAAUACCGCGUGAGGGAGGAAGGCCUUUGGGUUGUAAACCUCUUUUCUUAAGGAAGAAGAUCUGACGGUACUUAAGGAAUCAGCAUCGGCUAACUCCGUGCCAGCAGCCGCGGUAAUACGGAGGAUGCAAGCGUUAUCCGGAAUUAUUGGGCGUAAAGCGUCCGCAGGCGGCAUUAUAAGUCAGCUGUCAAAGACCGCAGCUCAACUGCGGAAAGGCAGUGGAGACUGUAAAGCUAGAGUACGGUAGGGGUAGAGGGAAUUCCCAGUGUAGCGGUGAAAUGCGUAGAUAUUGGGAAGAACACCAGUGGCGAAAGCGCUCUACUGGGCCGUAACUGACGCUCAGGGACGAAAGCUAGGGGAGCG